rnacentral:rRNA from 1 species
GCCCAAAAUCUAGCCCACUUAACUCACAUGACCCCCUUAACCAACUGUCUUAUAAACAAAACAUUUUAACAUUUUAGUACAGGUGAUCGAAAAAUUUCUAAGCGCUUCAGAUAAAGUACCGCAAGGGAAUAAUGAAAUAGAAAUGAAAUAACCUUAAAGCCUUAAAUAGCAGAGCUUCCCCCUCGUACCUUUUGCAUCAUGGUCUAGCCAGUUUCCCCAGGCAAAAUGAAAAUUUUAGUCUGACUCCCCGAAACUAAGCGAGCUACUUCGAAACAGCCCAAAGGGGCCAACCCGUCUCUGUUGCAAAAGAGUGGGAAGAUUUUCAAGUAGAGGCGAUAAACCUACCGAGCUUAGAGAUAGCUGGUUGUUCAGGAAAAGAGUCUUAGCUCUACCUUAAAUUUUUCUAUUACACCAAACAAAACACUAGAUUUAAGAGCUAUUCAAAUAAGGCACAGCUUAUUUGAAACGGGAUACAACCCCUAAUACUGGGUUAAAUCUAGAUAUAUCAAAUAAAGUGGGCCUAAAAGCAGCCAUCUUCCAAAAAGCGUUAAAGCUUAACAUAUUGUAUCUACAAUUCCACAAUUUUUACUUAACCCUUCAUCACUACUGAACUAUUUUAUACCCCCUAUAAAAGUCAUUAUGCUAGAACUAGUAACAAGAAAUUGCCCUUCUCCAAAAUGUAUGUUUAAACCAAAAUGGACACUCCACUGGUAGUUAACGUAAAUGUAAAAAUCAUAGCACCCCAUACUAGAAAACCCUAUGACUCCCAACGUCAACCUUACACUAGAACAUUACAGGAAAGAUUAAAAGAGAAAGAAGGAACUCGGCAAACCACAGUCCCGCCUGUUUACCAAAAACACCGCCUCUUG